GGUAAUGGCUCAGCGGUAGAGCAUUCGCCUUGCAUGUGCAAGGCCCUGAAUUCGAUCCUCAGCACCA
rnacentral:tRNA from 1 species